rnacentral:lncRNA from 1 species
GAUUGGUGGUUUUUAAUUGAGAGCAUACUUAUCUGAUGAUUUCAAUGAUGUCUAAAGCAAGUAUCGACAUACCCUUCCAUCGAUCUCACUUAUCUAACCAAUUUGGUUGAUUAUGAAUUGAAUAAGAUUGCUUGGUCAUUUGUGUUUAUCCAUGCCGACUAGGUUUGUCAGUAUGAAAUUGCACUGAUCUGAACUUGAUCAGUCAGACACU